rnacentral:misc_RNA from 1 species
UUGAAUAAACUUGGUUGGGCUGUUGCUGGCUUCUUGGAGCAUGUGCACGCCUAGCACCAAUUUUUACCACCUGUGCACCUUUUGUGAACCUGGAUACCUCUCGAGGAAACUCGGUUGGAGGACUGCUGUGUGAAAGCCAGCUUUCCUUACAUUUCCGGUUCAUGUUUUCACAUACCCCAUACGAAUGUAACAGAAUGUUGUUUACUGGCCUUUGUGCCUUUAAUCAGAUA